AUUGAACGCUGGCGGCAGGCCUAACACAUGCAAGUCGAGCGGCAGCGGGGGAAAGCUUGCUUUCCUGCCGGCGAGCGGCGGACGGGUGAGUAAUGUCUGGGAAACUGCCUGAUGGAGGGGGAUAACUACUGGAAACGGUAGCUAAUACCGCAUAACGUCUUCGGACCAAAGUGGGGGACCUUCGGGCCUCAUGCCAUCAGAUGUGCCCAGAUGGGAUUAGCUAGUAGGUGGGGUAACGGCUCACCUAGGCGACGAUCCCUAGCUGGUCUGAGAGGACGACCAGCCACACUGGAACUGAGACACGGUCCAGACUCCUACGGGAGGCAGCAGUGGGGAAUAUUGCACAAUGGGCGCAAGCCUGAUGCAGCCAUGCCGCGUGUAUGAAGAAGGCCUUCGGGUUGUAAAGUACUUUCAGCGGGGAGGAAGGUGUUGUGGUUAAUAACCGCAGCAAUUGACGUUACCCGCAGAAGAAGCACCGGCUAACUCCGUGCCAGCCGCCGCAGUAACAC
rnacentral:rRNA from 1 species